rnacentral:rRNA from 1 species
AUUGAACGCUGGCGGCAGGCCUAACACAUGCAAGUCGAGCGGAGCGGCGGACGGGCGAGUAAUGCCUGGGAAUCUGACUGGCCGUGGGGGUUAACGUCCGGAAACGGGCGCUAAUACCGCAUAAUAUCUGCUGAGCCUAGGUCGGAUUAGCUUGUUGGUGGGGUAAUGGCCCACCAAGGCAACGAUCCGUAACUGGGCUGAGAGGAUGAUCAGUAACACUGGAACUGAGACACGGUCCAGACUCCAACGGGAGGCGGAGGUGGGGAAUGUUGGACAAGGGGCGAAGGCCGAAUCCGGCCAUGCCGCGUGGCGGAAGAGGGUCUUCGGAUUGUAAAGCACUUUGAGUUGGAAGGCGUUACCAACAGAAUAAGCACCGGCUAACUUCGUGCCAGCAGCCGCGGUAAUAC